rnacentral:rRNA from 1 species
AACGAACGCUGGCGGCAUGCCUAACACAUGCAAGUCGAACGGGAUCCGGGCUUCGGCCUGGUGAGAGUGGCGGACGGGUGAGUAACGCGUGGGAACCUGCCCAAUGGUCUGGGAUAACCGCGGGAAACUGCGGCUAAUACCGGAUAAGCCCGAGAGGGGAAAGAUUUAUCGCCGAUGGAGGGCCCGCGUCAGAUUAGGUAGUUGGUGGGGUAAUGGCCUACCAAGCCUACGAUCUGUAGCUGGCUGAGAGGAUGAUCAGCCACACUGGGACUGAGAUACGGCCCAGACUCCUACGGGAGGCAGCAGUGGGGAAUAUUGGACAAUGGGGCAACCCUGAUCCAGCAAUGCCGCGUGAGUGAUGAA